GGGAAAGCUUCAUUACUUUCUUGGGGUGGAGAUUAUUCAAGCGGCAGAUGGGAUUUUUAUAUCUCAAAAAAAAUAUGCAAUUGAUCUUCUUAGAAGAUUUAAGAUGUUAAAUUGCAAUUCCACAGCCACUCCAAUGAAUGUGAGUGAAAAAUUGCAAAUUAAUGACGGUUCGGAACCUGCGGAAGGGAAGUUUUAUAGAAGUUUGGU
rnacentral:misc_RNA from 1 species